GGCGCUUUAUCAUGCAAGUCGUGCGCGAAAGGGCCCUUCGGGGCCCGAGUAGAGCGGCGAACNCCCUUUAAAGACGUGAGCAACCUGCCCUGGAGUGGGGAAUAACNCNUUAGAAAUCGGGGCUAAUACCGCAUGAUGCCUGGGAUCCUCAUGGACCCCUCGUUAAAGCCGGCCUCUGCUUGCAAGCUGGUGCUCCGGGAUGGGCUCGCGGCCUAUUAGCUAGUUGGUGAGGUAACGGCUCACCAAGGCUACGAUGGGUAGGGGGCGUGAGAGCGUGGCCCCCCACAUUGGGACUGAGAUACGGCCCAGACUCCUACGGGAGGCAGCAGUAAGGAAUCUUGCGCAAUGGGCGAAAGCCUGACGCAGCGACACCGCGUGAGGGAUGAAGGCCUUCGGGUUGUAAACCUCUGUCAGGNGGAAAGAAACUCCGGUUGGCGAAUAACCGAUCGGACUGACGGUACCCCCAAAGGAAGUGCCGGCUAACUCCGUGCCAACAGCCGCGGUUAAGACGGAGGGNGCAAACGUUGUUUCNNAAUUCACUGGGCGUAAAGGGCGCGUANGCGGA
rnacentral:rRNA from 1 species